GCCAUUUGAUGAUAUCAAGGCUGUUGUUACUUGGCUGGUCUGGUUGAGCCCUAGGACCCUGACCUUUCAUCCAGGUCUGUAAUCUUGGUGGGCAAUACAGAGAUGUGUUUGUUUGCUGUAAGGGCAGACCAACAGGAAGUUCCACCUCUUUUUUGCUCCCAUCUUCCCCCUAAGGGGAGUGAUCCUGGUUACCACAGAAAGAUGCUGGUAGCUAGAGUUGGGCAGAGGUAACAGGGCAAGCCUAGGGUAUGGAGGUCCAGGGUCCCAGAAGGCUUAGCUUAUAUUAUAGCCACCAAGAGAUGAGCACAGAUCUUUGGUAAUCUGAUGGCU
rnacentral:snoRNA from 1 species